GACCCUUCGGAAACAUCCGAUAAAAUUAGAACGAUACAGAAAAGAUUAGCAUGGUCUUUGCGCAAGAAUGAUAUGCACAAAUCGAGAAAUAACCCAAAUUUUU